rnacentral:rRNA from 1 species
AUUGAACGCUAGCGGGAUGCCUUACACAUGCAAGUCGAACGGAGUGGCGAACGGGUGAGUAAUGUAUCGGACCGUGCCCAGUAGCGGGGGAUAAAUACGCGAAAGCGUAGCUAAUAACGAAUGAUAUUGGAUCGGCCGAUAUCGGAUUCGCUAGUUGGUGGGGUAAAGGCGCACCAAGGCGACGAUCCGUAGCUGUUUUGAGAGGACUACCAGCCACACUGGGACUGAGACACGGCCCAGACGCCUACGGGAGGCAGCAUUGGGUAAUUUUGGACAAUGGGGGAAACCCUGAUCCCGCCAUCCCGCGUGUGCGAUGAAGGCCUUCGGGUUGUAAAGCACUUUUGGCAGGAAAGCGGUACCUGCAGAAUAAGCACCGGCUAACUACGUGCCAGCAGCCGCGGUAAUUC